rnacentral:rRNA from 1 species
AAUAUAGGACAAUGGGGGCAACCCUGAUCCAGCCAUGCCGCGUGUGUGAAGAAGGUCUUCGGAUUGUAAAGCACUUUAAGUUGGGAGGAAGGGCUUUAGGCUAAUACCCUGAAGUUUUGACGUUACAAACAGAAUAAGCCCCGUCUAACUCUGUGCCAGCGGCCGAGGUAAUAAAGAGGGUGCAAGCGUGACACGGAAUUAAGGGGCGUAAAGCGCGCGUAGGUGGUUCAGUAAGAUGGGUGUGAAAUCCCCGGGCUUAACCUGGGAACUGCUUUCAUAACUGCUGAGCUAGAGUACGGUAGAGGUUAGUGGAAUUUCCUGUGUAGCGGUGAAAUGCGUAGAUAUAGGAAGGAACACCAGUGGCGAAGGCGACUACCUGGACUGAUACUGACACUGAGGUGCGAAAGCGUGGGGAGCAAACA